AGCAGCAUGGUGUGGGGGAAGCGUGUGGGGCUCAUAACCCCUGAGGUCAUAGGAUUAAAACCUACUGCUGCUA